CAGCCGCCGCGGGAAAACGUAGGUGGCAAGCGUUGUCCGGAAUUAUUGGGCGUAAAGGGCUCGCAGGCGGUUUCUUAAGUCUGAUGUGAAAGCCCCCGGCUCAACCGGGGAGGGUCAUUGGAAACUGGGAAACUUGAGUGCAGAAGAGGAGAGUGGAAUUCCAUGUGUAGCGGUGAAAUGCGUAGAUAUAUGGAGGAACACCGGUGGCGAAAGCGGCUCUCUGGCUUGCAACUGACACUGAGGCACGAAAGCGUGGGGAGCAAACAGGAUUAGAUACCCGCGUAGUCCCUGUCUCUUAUAC
rnacentral:rRNA from 1 species